GUCUGUGGAUAGCUCAGUCUGUAGAGCAUGAGACUCUUAAUCUCAUGGAUUCGAGUUCCACGUUGGGCA